rnacentral:ncRNA from 1 species
UUCUCUCAUGUGUAAAAAAAGAGGCAGAGUCAUAAAACUAAAAAUAAGUUUGUAAAAAACCAAAAAACCAAUUGACCCUUACUUGAUUAAUGGGUGCUUACCCAGUUGAAGAAGAAGAGAAAGAAGAGACGGUGAAUUCCGUCCAAGGCUAAAUACGGGCGAGAGACCGAUAGCGAACAAGUACCGCGAGGAAAAGAUGAAAAGGACUUUGAAAAGAGAGUUAAAGAGUACUUGAAAUUGUUGGGAGGGAAGCAGAUUGGGGCCGGCGAUGUGCCCCAGUCAGAUGUGGAACGGUGUUGAGCCGGUCCGCCGAUCGACUCGGGGCGUGGAUCAGCGUGGAUUGGGGGGGGGGGGNGGGGGGCGGCCAAAGCCCGGGCUUUUGAUACGCUCGUGGAACGCCGUCUCCUUGAUUGUGGUAGGCAGCGCGCGCCUCUGGCGUGCUUCGGCAUCUGCGCGCUCCAGACGCUGGCCUGUGGGCUCCCCAUUCGACCCGUCUUGAAACACGG